rnacentral:misc_RNA from 1 species
AAAAUUUCAGAAAAAUGUUUUCGCUCCAAGUCACGCGAAAUACGAAACCCAAAGGAAAGUCCAUCCUUCCUGACUGCGUAUAUCGCAAUUGAAACAAAAAUCCCAUUCAACAAAAACCGCACAAAAUUACUUCAAAUUUGCUUUCGAUUUCUAUACCUGUUCAAGAAGAAAUGCAUUCUUAGAUUUUUAUUUCCUUUUUGCCUCUGCCUAACUCAAUCCGAUUCUCGGGGUCAAUGGACGCAUCUAAUGCCCGAGUUCAUUCAUUUGGCCAGACUGAGAUUAAUUGGGACAAGCUCGAUAAGACUAAGUUUUAUGUUGUUGGGGCUGGUAUCUUUACUGGGAUUACAGUGGCAUUGUAUCCUGUGUCUGUUGUAAAAACCAGGCUUCAGGUGGCUACAAAGGAUACUGUUGAAAGAAAUGUAUUUUCUGUUGUCAGAGGUAUACUGAAAACAGAUGGUAUUCCUGGUCUCUACAGAGGGUUUGGUACAGUCAUUACUGGUGCAAUUCCUGCUAGGAUUAUUUUUCUUACUGCUUUGGAGACCACAAAAGUGGCAGCUUUCAAGAUGGUUGAACCAUUUAAGCUAUCUGAACCUGUGCAAGCAGCUGCAGCAAAUGGUAUUGCUGGAAUGACAGCAUCACUCUUUUCUCAAGCAGUGUUUGUGCCAAUUGAUGUGGUUAGCCAAAAGUUGAUGGUACAAGGAUAUUCUGGCCAUACAAAAUACAAUGGAGGUCUAGAUGUUGCUCGGAAAAUUCUAAAGUCUGAUGGUAUAAGAGGACUGUACAGGGGGUUUGGUCUAUCUGUUAUGACUUAUUCUCCAUCUAGUGCUGUAUGGUGGGCAAGUUAUGGUUCAAGUCAACGUGUCAUCUGGAGCAUGUUGGGCCAUGGUACUGACCUUAAGGGAGCCGCUCCUAGCCAGUUGACAAUAAUGUUAGUUCAGGGUACUGGAGGAAUUGUUGCAGGAGCAACAGCAUCUUGUAUUACAACCCCAUUGGAUACUAUCAAGACUCGCUUACAGGUGAUGGGACAAGAAAGAAAAAGCUCUGCAAGACAAGUUGUUAAGAACUUGAUUAAGGAUGAUGGAUGGGGAGGUUUAUAUAGAGGGUUGGGUCCAAGAUUUUUCAGCAUGUCAGCAUGGGGAACCUCAAUGAUAUUAGCCUAUGAAUAUUUGAAGCGAUUGUGUGCAAAAGAUGCAUAGAUGUGAUCCUGCUACACACUUCUGGCCCAGAACCGUUGCUUCUUGCCAUGUGACUGGCAAAGAUUCAGGAUUGAAAUUGACUAUAUUAAGCUUAUUCUAGAAGAUGGCUGUAUUAGAUGGAUAGUCGCAAGAAUUUCUUGUACUCUAAUCCUUGAAAUAGAAUUGUAGAAAUUGCAGUUUUGACAUUAACUGAGGAUUCAACCUCAAGGUGAUAAAUCUGGAAUAUUGGAUUUUGAAUAGGCCUCUUGGAGAUGGCCAAAAUUCUUUCAAGCAUAGAUUUUAUUCUUUCCCUUUGUUGGGAUCUCUUUAGGUUAAAUUUGAAUAAAUUAGAGGCUGUCACUGUUGUUUUUAUUUUCAUUUAGCUUAGCAAUUUUAUCCUUAUUACAAAGUAUGUCAGAUAUGAUAUUUUGCACUUAUGUCUUCCAUUUUGGAUUCUUGUAUUUAAAAUGCUUCAGAUUUGGAUGUCAAAUCAUUUCGCAGAAAUGGUACUAUACCUGAACAAAAU